rnacentral:rRNA from 1 species
GGACGAAAGUCUGACGGAGCAACGCCGCGUGUAUGAUGAAGGUCUUCGGAUUGUAAAGUACUGUCAUUGGGGAAGAACGGUCUUCUUGAAAAUAUUGAGGAGACAUGACGGUACCCAAGGAGGAAGCCCCGGCUAACUACGUGCCAGCAGCCGCGGUAAUACGUAGGGGGCGAGCGAUGUCCGGAAUUAUUGGGCGUAAAGGGCGCGUAGGCGGAUGCUUAAGUCCGGUGUGAAAGAUCAGGGCUCAACCCUGAGAGUGCAUCGGAAACUGGGUAUCUUGAGGACAGGAGAGGAAAGUGGAAUUCCACGUGUAGCGGUGAAAUGCGUAGAUAUGUGGAGGAACACCAGUGGCGAAGGCGACUUUCUGGACUGUAACUGACGCUGAGGCGCGAAAGCGUGGGGAGCAAACAGGAUUAGAUACCCUGGUAGUCCACGCCGUAAACGAUGAGUGCUAGGUGUAGAGGGUAUCGACCCCUUCUGUGCCGCAGUUAACACAAUAAGCACUCCGCCUGGGGAGUA